UACAGAGGGGGCAAGCGUUGUUCGGAAUUACUGGGCGUAAAGGGCGCGUAGGCGGCCUGUUAAGUCGAACGUGAAAUCCCCGGGCUCAACCCGGGAACUGCGUCCGAUACUGGCAGGCUUGAAUCCGGGAGAGGGAUGCGGAAUUCCAGGUGUAGCGGUGAAAUGCGUAGAUAUCUGGAGGAACACCGGUGGCGAAGGCGGGUCUCUGGGCAAUAACUGACGCUGAGGAGCGAAAGCGUGGGGAGCGAACAGG
rnacentral:rRNA from 1 species